UGCCCCUUGGCCCAGUUGGUGAAGGCGCACGACUGUUAACCCCGUCUGCAGGUUGUCUGGAGAUCGCGAGAUCGCAAGUUCGAACCUUGCAGGGGCAG